GAAGCUGUACGAAGCUGGUUAACUGCCAGUUAAGAGGUUGGGGGUUCGAAUCCCCCUAGCUGCCCA
rnacentral:tRNA from 1 species